CGGGGGUAGAGCACUGUUUCGGCUAGGGGGCCAUCCCGGCUUACCAACCCGAUGCAAACUGCGAAUACCGGAGAAUGUUAUCACGGGAGACACACGGCGGGUGCUAACGUCCGUCGUGAAGAGGGAAACAACCCAGACCGCCAGCUAAGGUCCCAAAGUCAUGGUUAAGUGGGAAACGAUGUGGGAAGGCCCAGACAGCCAGGAUGUUGGCUUAGAAGCAGCCAUCAUUUAAAGAAAGCGUAAUAGCUCACUGGUCGAGUCGGCCUGCGCGGAAGAUGUAACGGGGCUAAACCAUGCACCGAAGCUGCGGCAGCGACACUGUGUGUUGUUGGGUAGGGGAGCGUUCUGUAAGCCUGUGAAGGUGUGUCGUGAGGCAUGCUGGAGGUAUCAGAAGUGCGAAUGCUGACAUAAGUAACGAUAAAGCGGGUGAAAAGCCCGCUCGCCGGAAGACCAAGGGUUCCUGUCCAACGUUAAUCGGGGCAGGGUGAGUCGACCCCUAAGGCGAGGCCGAAAGGCGUAGUCGAUGGGAAACGGGUUAAUAUUCCCGUACUUGGUGUUACUGCGAAGGGGGGACGGAGAAGGCUAUGUUGGCCGGGCGACGGUUGUCCCGGUUUAAGCGUGUAGGUGUGUGUUCCAGGUAAAUCCGGUUCACUUUAACACUGAGGCGUGACGACGAGGCACUACGGUGCUGAAGCAACAAAUGCCCUGCUUCCAGGAAAAGCCUCUAAGCAUCAGGUAACAUCAAAUCGUACCCCAAACCGACACAGGUGGUCAGGUAGAGAAUACCAAGGCGCUUGAGAGAACUCGGGUGAAGGAACUAGGCAAAAUGGUGCCGUAACUUCGGGAGAAGGCACGCUGACACGUAGGUGAAGUGAUUUACUCAUGGAGCUGAAGUCAGUCGAAGAUACCAGCUGGCUGCAACUGUUUAUUAAAAACACAGCACUGUGCAAACACGAAAGUGGACGUAUACGGUGUGACGCCUGCCCGGUGCCGGAAGGUUAAUUGAUGGGGUCAGCGCAAGCGAAGCUCCUGAUCGAAGCCCCGGUAAACGGCGGCCGUAACUAUAACGGUCCUAAGGUAGCGAAAUUCCUUGUCGGGUAAGUUCCGACCUGCACGAAUGGCGUAAUGAUGGCCAGGCUGUCUCCACCCGAGACUCAGUGAAAUUGAACUCGCUGUGAAGAUGCAGUGUACCCGCGGCAAGACGGAAAGACCCCGUGAACCUUUACUAUAGCUUGACACUGAACAUUGAGCCUUGAUGUGUAGGAUAGGUGGGAGGCUUUGAAGUGUGGACGCCAGUCUGCAUGGAGCCGACCUUGAAAUACCACCCUUUAAUGUUUGAUGUUCUAACGUGGACCCGUUACCCGGGUUGCGGACAGUGUCUGGUGGGUAGUUUGACUGGGGCGGUCUCCUCCUAAAGAGUAACGGAGGAGCACGAAGGUUGGCUAAUCCUGGUCGGACAUCAGGAGGUUAGUGCAAUGGCAUAAGCCAGCUUGACUGCGAGCGUGACGGCGCGAGCAGGUGCGAAAGCAGGUCAUAGUGAUCCGGUGGUUCUGAAUGGAAGGGCCAUCGCUCAACGGAUAAAAGGUACUCCGGGGAUAACAGGCUGAUACCGCCCAAGAGUUCAUAUCGACGGCGGUGUUUGGCACCUCGAUGUCGGCUCAUCACAUCCUGGGGCUGAAGUAGGUCCCAAGGGUAUGGCUGUUCGCCAUUUAAAGUGGUACGCGAGCUGGGUUUAGAACGUCGUGAGACAGUUCGGUCCCUAUCUGCCGUGGGCGCUGGAGAACUGAGGGGGGCUGCUCCUAGUACGAGAGGACCGGAGUGGACGCAUCACUGGUGUUCGGGUUGUCAUGCCAAUGGCACUGCCCGGUAGCUAAAUGCGGAAGAGAUAAGUGCUGAAAGCAUCUAAGCACGAAACUUGCCCCGA
rnacentral:rRNA from 2 species